rnacentral:rRNA from 1 species
AAGUCGUAACAAGGUUUCCGUAGGUGAACCUGCGGAAGGAUCAUUGUCGUAUCCUGCACAGCAGAACAACCCGAGAACCGGUUAACAACCACUUGGGAGACURGGGCAUGUCCCCUGCGCUCCCAAAUACCGCUGCCGUGGGCAGCCCCCACCGGGGUCCACGGCUUCGGGMAAAAACGAAACCCGGCACGGAAUGUGCCAAGGAAAUCGAAUAAGAGAAGCGCUGUCCCGCGACCCCCGUCCGCGGGGAUUUCUCGGGUUCACGCGCCAUCUUUUCUAUCAAUAUCAAAACGACUCUCGGCAACGGAUAUCUCGGCUCUCGCAUCGAUGAAGAACGUAGCGAAAUGCGAUACUUGGUGUGAAUUGCAGAAUCCCGUGAACCAUCGAGUCUUUGAACGCAAGUUGCGCCCUAAGCCAUUUGGCCGAGGGCACGUCUGCCUGGGCGUCAAUCAUCCAUUCGUCACCCAACCUCUGCUCCCUAAAAAUGAGCUCGGUUCCUGGGUACGGAAGUUGGCCUCCCGUGCUCCUGAAGCGCGGCUGGUCUAAAAUCGAGCAUCGGACUGAUGAUCUCCGAGGCACGCGGUGGUUGUUCAUUCUUACCUCGUGAUGUUGCCCCGGAGCGUCUCCCAUACGGAGCUCAACGACCCUAGAUUCAUAACGAUGCGACCCCAGGUCAGGCGGGGCC